GCGGUCUGCUUAACACAUGCAAGUCGAACGGAAUCUUUCGGGAUUUAGUGGCGGACGGGUGAGUAACGCGUGAGAAUCUGCCUUCAGGUUCGGGACAACAGUUGGAAACGGCUGCUAAUACCGGAUGUGCCGAGAGGUGAAAGCUUAAGUGCCUGGAGAUGAGCUCGCGUCUGAUUAGCUAGUAGGAGUGGUAACGGCACCCCUAGGCGACGAUCAGUAGCUGGUCUGAGAGGAUGAUCAGCCACACUGGGACUGAGACACGGCCCAGACUCCUACGGGAGGCAGCAGUGGGGAAUUUUCCGCAAUGGGCGCAAGCCUGACGGAGCAAGACCGCGUGAGGGAAGAAGGUCUGUGGAUUGUAAACCUCUUUUGAUAGGGAAGAAGACAGUGACGGUACCUAUCGAAUCAGCCUCGGCUAACUCCGUGCCAGCAGCCGCGGUAAUACGGAGGAGGCAAGCGUUAUCCGGAAUUAUUGGGCGUAAAGAGUCCGUAGGUGGGUCACCCAGUCAGCUGUUAAAUAGUGAAGCUUAACUUCAUAGAGGCGGCUGAAACUGGUGGUCUAGAGUGUGGUAGGGGUAGAGGGAAUUUCCAGUGUAGCGGUGAAAUGCGUAGAUAUUGGAAAGAACACCGGUGGCGAAAGCGCUCUACUGGGCCUGCACUGACACUGAGGGACGAAAGCUAGGGGAGCGAAAGGGAUUAGAUACCCCUGUAGUCCUAGCCGUAA
rnacentral:rRNA from 1 species